rnacentral:rRNA from 1 species
UACAGAGGUCUCAAGCGUUGUUCGGAUUCAUUGGGCGUAAAGGGUGCGUAGGCGGCGCGGUAAGUCGGGUGUGAAAUCUCGGAGCUUAACUCCGAAACUGCAUUCGAUACUGCCGUGCUUGAGGACUGGAGAGGAGACUGGAAUUUACGGUGUAGCGGUGAAAUGCGUAGAUAUCAGGAGGAACACCGGCGGCGAAGGCGGCCCUCUGGAUCGUUGCUGACGCUGAGGCGCGAAAGCGUGGGGAGCAAACAGG